rnacentral:rRNA from 1 species
CGAGUCAUUGGGCGCACUAAACCCAAAGCCGCAAUGAAAGUGAAAGGAGGGCGUCACGGGGUCCUCGUGGCUCCGGUCGGCGCCCUCCGGGGCCGAUCCUUGACCGUGCCGGUGCCGCCGUUGGCUUUCCAUACCAAAGCGAGGUUAUUCCAAAGGAGGUGCGCGGGGUGAGACCCUUUCCCCCGUUGUCUACCUCUGGCCUCGUGGGAGCCCGGUGCGCUCGGCGGUCCGAGCUCGUCCUUGUUGGCGAGCUGGCUUGUAAGCAAGGGGGCGCAGGCCCGGGACUUGCCAUGUGACGCCGUCGCGCGAAUCUGUUGUUGGCCUCACCGGCUCUGCUUGGGCUCUCGGUUGGCGUGCCGCGUGUCUUUGGGCGGACUUUGGGCUGGGGCUUCAUCGGCUCCUACCCGGGUUCGUCCGGCGCGGUUUCGCCUCUCGAUCCUGCUCUGUCCGGAGUGGCCUAGCGCGCGUGCUGUCGGCAAGUACCAUGAGCAGACAUGUUGGGACCCGAAAGAUGGUGAACUAUGCUUGGCCAGGAUGAAGCCAGAGGAAACUCUGGUGGAGGUCCGUAGCAAUUCUGACGUGCAAAUCGAUUGUCAGAGCUGGGUAUAGGGGCGAAAGACUAAUCGAACCAUCUA